rnacentral:tRNA from 2 species
GCAGUCGUGGCCGAGUGGUUAAGGCGAUUGACUAGAAAUCCAUUGGGGUCUCCCCGCACAGGUUGGAAUCCUUUCGACUGCG